CGUGUAGGUGGUCGGGUAAGUCAGAUGUGAAAGCCUUCUGCUUAACAGAAGAAGUGCAUUUGAAACUGCUCGGCUAGAGUACGGGAGAGGAGAGUGGAAUUCCCGGUGUAGAGGUGAAAUUCGUGGAUAUCGGGAGGAACACCAGUGGCGAAGGCGGCUCUCUGGUCCGAUACUGACGCUGAGACGCGAAAGCGUGGGGAGCAAACAGGAUUAGAUACCCUGGUAGUCCACGCCGUAAACGAUGGGCACUAGGUGUAGGAGGUAUUGACCCCUUCUGUGCCGAAGCUAACGCAUUAAGUGCCCCGCCUGGGGAGUACGGCCGCAAGGCUAAA
rnacentral:rRNA from 1 species